rnacentral:misc_RNA from 1 species
UGCCCUUAUAGCCGGUACCAACGUUGACUCCGCCGUGGCCAACGUUGACACUUGUUCCGCCGCCGGGUUUCUUGUAGCCUGUGUGGACGUUCACUCCACCGUGGCCGACGUUGACAUUUGUUCCACCACCAGGUUUCUUGUAGCCGGUGUUCAUUGAUCAAAGGACAUCUGCUUCGGCUGGAUCUCCUGCAGAGCAGUCGAUAAGACCUGCGAGCCGAGGGUUUCAUCAACGCGGCGAGGCGCGAGGGGGGAGGCCGCCAGUCUGGGCUCGGAGAACACGAUCUGCUUCGGCAGGAUCUCCGGCUCCGGCCCGAGCCGGCCUGUGGAGAACAGAGGUGAGAUGCCGGCUUCGCCGGAGAAGGCAACGGCGUCGGAGCGGAAAACGGCAGUGGGCGGCGGCACGGGUUCCUC